rnacentral:lncRNA from 1 species
GCAGAGUUCUGGGGUGUCUCCACCAUGGCCUGGACCCCUCUCUGGCUCACUCUCCUCACUCUUUGCAUAGGUUCUGUGGUUUCUUCUGAGCUGACUCAGGACCCUGCUGUGUCUGUGGCCUUGGGACAGACAGUCAGGAUCACAUGCCAAGGAGACAGCCUCAGAAGCUAUUAUGCAAGCUGGUACCAGCAGAAGCCAGGACAGGCCCCUGUACUUGUCAUCUAUGGUAAAAACAACCGGCCCUCAGGGAUCCCAGACCGAUUCUCUGGCUCCAGCUCAGGAAACACAGCUUCCUUGACCAUCACUGGGGCUCAGGCGGAAGAUGAGGCUGACUAUUACUGUCAGGCCCUCAGUCACUGUGUUAUGUCUUCGGAACUGGGACCAAGGUCACCGUCCUAGGUCAGCCCAAGGCCAACCCCACUGUCACUCUGUUCCCGCCCUCCUCUGAGGAGCUCCAAGCCAACAAGGCCACACUAGUGUGUCUGAUCAGUGACUUCUACCCGGGAGCUGUGACAGUGGCCUGGAAGGCAGAUGGCAGCCCCGUCAAGGCGGGAGUGGAGACCACCAAACCCUCCAAACAGAGCAACAACAAGUACGCGGCCAGCAGCUACCUGAGCCUGACGCCCGAGCAGUGGAAGUCCCACAGAAGCUACAGCUGCCAGGUCACGCAUGAAGGGAGCACCGUGGAGAAGACAGUGGCCCCUACAGAAUGUUCAUAGGUUCCCAACUCUAACCCCACCCACGGGAGCCUGGAGCUGCAGGAUCCCAGGGGAGGGGUCUCUCUCCCCAUCCCAAGUCAUCCAGCCCUUCUCCCUGCACUCAUGAAACCCCAAUAAAUAUCCUCAUUGACA